GAUGAACGCUGGCGGCGUGCCUAAUACAUGCAAGUCGAGCGAACGGACGAGAAGCUUGCUUCUCUGAUGUUAGCGGCGGACGGGUGAGUAACACGUGGAUAACCUACCUAUAAGACUGGGAUAACUUCGGGAAACCGGAGCUAAUACCGGAUAAUAUUUUGAACCGCAUGGUUCAAAAGUGAAAGACGGUCUUGCUGUCACUUAUAGAUGGAUCCGCGCUGCAUUAGCUAGUUGGUAAGGUAACGGCUUACCAAGGCAACGAUGCAUAGCCGACCUGAGAGGGUGAUCGGCCACACUGUAACUGAGACACGGUCCAGACUCCUACGGGAGGCAGCAGUAGGGAAUCUGCCGCAAUGGGCGAAAGCCUGACGGAGCAGCGCCGCGUGAGUGAUGAAGGUCUUCGGAUCGUAAAACUCUGUUAUUAGGGAAGAACAUAUGUGUAAGUAACUGUGCACAUCUUGACGGUACCUAAUCAGAAAGCCACGGCUAACUACGUG
rnacentral:rRNA from 1 species